rnacentral:rRNA from 1 species
GACGAAGGAUGCAAGCGUUAUCCGGAUUCAUUGGGUUUAAAGGGAGCGUAGGCGGCCUUGUAAGUCAGUGGUGAAAUCUCUGGGCUUAACCCAGAAAUUGCCAUUGAUACUGCAGGGCUUGAGUACAGUUGCCGUUGGCGGAAUAUGACAUGUAGUGGUGAAAUACAUAGAGAUGUCAUAGAACACCGAUUGCGAAGGCAGCUAACGAAACUGUAACUGACGCUGAGGCUCGAAAGUGUGGGGAUCAAACAAG